GACGAACGCUGGCGGCGUGCUUAACACAUGCAAGUCGAACGAUGAAGCUAGAGCUUGCUCUGGUGGAUUAGUGGCGAACGGGUGAGUAACACGUGAGUAACCUGCCCCGAACUCUGGGAUAACUGCUGGAAACGGUAGCUAAUACUGGAUACGACCAACGAAGGCAUCUUCUGUUGGUGGAAAGAAUUUCGGUUCGGGAUGGACUCGCGGCCUAUCAGCUUGUUGGUGAGGUAACGGCUCACCAAGGCGACGACGGGUAGCCGGCCUGAGAGGGUGAUCGGCCACACUGGGACUGAGACACGGCCCAGACUCAUACGGGAGGCAGCAGUGGGGAAUAUUGAACAAUGGGCGCAAGCCUGAUGCAGCAACGCCGCGUGGGGGACGACGGCCUUCGGGUUGUAAACCUCUUUUGGUAGGGAAGAAGCGAAAGUGACGGUACCUGCAGAAAAAGCACCGGCUAACUACGUGCCAGCCGCCGCCGUAA
rnacentral:rRNA from 1 species